rnacentral:rRNA from 1 species
AUUGAACGCUGGCGGCAGGCUUAACACAUGCAAGUCGAGCGGAGAUGAGGUGCUUGCACCUUAUCUUAGCGGCGGACGGGUGAGUAAUGCUUAGGAAUCUGCCUAUUAGUGGGGGACAACAUUCCGAAAGGAAUGCUAAUACCGCAUACGUCCUACGGGAGAAAGCAGGGGAUCUUCGGACCUUGCGCUAAUAGAUGAGCCUAAGUCGGAUUAGCUAGUUGGUGGGGUAAAGGCCUACCAAGGCGACGAUCUGUAGCGGGUCUGAGAGGAUGAUCCGCCACACUGGGACUGAGACACGGCCCAGACUCCUACGGGAGGCAGCAGUGGGGAAUAUUGGACAACGGGGGGAACCCUGAUCCAGUCAUGCCGCGUGUGUGAAGAAGGCCUUAUGGUUGUAAAGCACUUUAAGCGAGGAGGAGGCUACUGAGACUAAUACUCUUGGUUAGUGGACGUUACUCGCAGAAUAAGCACCGGCUAACUCUGUGCCAGCCGCCGCCGUAACAC